CUAGCGACUUCAGAGUUUGAUCCUGGCUCAGGAUAAACGCUGGCGGCGCACAUAAGACAUGCAAGUCGAACGAACUUAACCUUUAGUUUACUAUUGGAGCGGUUAGUGGCGGACUGGUGAGUAACACGUAAGCAACCUGCCUAUCAGAGGGGAAUAACAGUUAGAAAUGACUGCUAAUACCGCAUAUGCCUUGAGUAACACAUGUUACAAAAGGGAAAGGAGCAAUCCGCUGAUAGAUGGGCUUGCGUCUGAUUAGAUAGUUGGUGGGGCAACGGCCUACCAAGUCGACGAUCAGUAGCCGGACUGAGAGGUUGAACGGCCACAUUGGGACUGAGAUACGGCCCAG
rnacentral:rRNA from 1 species